UACGUAGGGUGCGAGCGUUAAUCGGAAUUACUGGGCGUAAAGGGCCAGUAGGCGGCCAACUAAGUCACACGUGAAAUCCCCAGGCUUAACCUGGGAACUGCGUGUGAUACUGGAUGGCUUGAAUUCGGGAGAGGGAUGCAGAAUUCCAGGUGUAGCGGUGAAAUGCGUAGAUAUCUGGAGGAAUACCGGUGGCGAAGGCGGCAUCCUGGACCGACAUUGACGCUGAUGAGCGAAAGCUAGGGGAGCAAACGGG
rnacentral:rRNA from 1 species